GCUCAUUUCGUUUCCAAAAAUCAGCAGAACCGAAACCCUAACGUUAUUCUUCAACGAAGAGAUGAAGAAGCAAAUGUUUAGCAGCAGCAGCAGCAGAAGGAUUCCAGAAGAGAUUCACGUUGAAAUCCUUAUACGAUUGCCAGUGAAAUCCAUACUAAAAUUUCUGUGGUCGCAAUUCUACUAUUAAGGAAUGUCACUGGAUUGCUCCUAUGAGGGGUUAGGUGCUGUUUUGUUGUGAUGGUGCUGCUCUUGGUAACUCUGGUAGUGCUGGUUUUGGUGUCAUUGCAAGGAUCAUCUUUGUCAGGUUUUAGGGACUAUCACUGGUGGCAUUGCAAAGGUGAUGGCUGCAGUGAUUGCAAUUGAAUGGGCUGUCUUUUUGAGUUGCAGUCGCUUCAUUGUUAUAUCUGAUUCAAAACCUGUGCUGAAUGCUUGUAAGUUGCUGACUGAUACCACUGUUACAUGAAAGUAAACUUCUCUCUUGACUGUUCGCAAUGCUUUGCUUUAUUUUUUUUUUGCUUUUUCAUGUAAUGUUUGGUUUUUGCUGGCUUCUCGCUUUUUUGUUAGCUUUAAGCUGGCUUUUGAGUUGUUAUCCAGUAAAAUUGCGUGUUUAAACUGCU